UUGUGCCUGUUGCUUUCCUGCUUCUUAUUUUGCUAGAGGGGUUCAGCUUUUAUUCUUAACCUGAGUUAAGCUGGUUUAAGUAUUAUGAGAAUGUUGCUACGUGUUUGGAGAUUCAACCAGGUUCUUCAUUAGGAAUUGAAGCGGAAAAGGAAGUCCCACACACUUAAAUGUAACUAAUGGCUGAUUCUUGUCAGCUGUACAAAACCUGACUCCAAAAUGAAGGCGAGGUUUUGGCUUAAUAACAAGAAUGAGUGCAUCAUUGCAGAUUGGACGAUGAAUUUAGAGAGACAGAAUGACACAGUUCUCCUCUCAUCCAGCUCCUCUCCCACAUGGAACUGUACAAAAGGAGCCUGGGACAACAUGAAACAUGGAAAUAAAAACUACAUGUACA